CAGCACUAUUGGAUGAAACAAGAGGUCCGAACUAGUUUUUCCUAUACAUUGUCUUGAAGCAGUGAUGCACCCCUCUAGGUGACCAAAACAUUCAGGGACUUGCCUUUAAAAUCAAUAGGUUUUGACAAAAUCGGAGGUUCCUGCAAACAUGGCAUGUGCAUCAGGAUUAAUGCUUUGGUAUUUUGCCAUCCUUGGAAGUGUAAUAUCAUCAUCAUUACGAAAUAUGACAGAUAUCGGCCCAGAGGUUUUAGACAUGUUACUUCAAACAGGCCAAUACGAAGAAUUCAGUAAAC